rnacentral:rRNA from 1 species
GAGUUUGAUCCUGGCUCAGAACGAACGCUGGCGGCGUGGAUAAGACAUGCAAGUCGAACGAGAGAAUUGCUAGCUUGCUAAUAAUUCUCUAGUGGCGCACGGGUGAGUAACACGUGAGUAACCUGCCCCCGAGAGCGGGAUAGCCCUGGGAAACUGGGAUUAAUACCGCAUAGUAUCGAAAGAUUAAAGCAGCAAUGCGCUUGGGGAUGGGCUCGCGGCCUAUUAGUUAGUUGGUGAGGUAACGGCUCACCAAGGCGAUGACGGGUAGCCGGUCUGAGAGGAUGUCCGGCCACACUGGAACUGAGACACGGUCCAGACACCUACGGGUGGCAGCAGUCGAGAAUCAUUCACAAUGGGGGAAACCCUGAUGGUGCGACGCCGCGUGGGGGAAUGAAGGUCUUCGGAUUGUAAACCCCUGUCAUGUGGGAGCAAAUUAAAAAGAUAGUACCACAAGAGGAAGAGACGGCUAACUCUGUGCCAGCAGCCGCGGUAAUACAGAGGUCUCAAGCGUUG